AGCGAACGCUGGCGGUAGGCCUAACACAUGCAAGUCGAACGGCAGCACAGUAAGAGCUUGCUCUUACGGGUGGCGAGUGGCGGACGGGUGAGGAAUACAUCGGAAUCUACUUUUUCGUGGGGGAUAACGUAGGGAAACUUACGCUAAUACCGCAUACGACCUACGGGUGAAAGCAGGGGAUCUUCGGACCUUGCGCGAUUGAAUGAGCCGAUGUCGGAUUAGCUAGUUGGCGGGGUAAAGGCCCACCAAGGCGACGAUCCGUAGCUGGUCUGAGAGGAUGAUCAGCCACACUGGAACUGGGACACGGUCCAGACUCCUACGGGAGGCAGCGGUGGGGAAUAUUGGACAAUGGGCGCAAGCCUGCUCCAGCCAUACCGCGUGGGUGAAGAAGGCCUUCGGGUUGUAAAGCCCUUUUGUUGGGAAAGAAAAGCAGCAGGUUAAUACCCCGCUGUUCUGACGGUACCCAAAGAAUAAGCACCGGCUAACUUCGUG
rnacentral:rRNA from 1 species